CCUACGGGUGGCAGCAGUCGAGAAUCUUUCACAAUGGGCGAAACCCUGAUGGAGCGACGCCGCGUGGGGGAUUGAAGGUCUCCGGAUUGUAAACUCCUGUCAUGUGGGAGCAAAUUCAAAAGAUAGUACCACAAGAGGAAGAGACUGCUAACUCUGUGCAAGCAGCCGCGGUAAUACGGAGGUAUCACGGGUUGUUCGGAAUCACUGGGGGUAAAGCGUGUGUAGGCUGUUACGUAAGUCGUGUGUGAAAGGCGCGGGCUCAACUCGCGGACGGCAGAUGAUACUGCGAGACUAGAGUAAUGGAGGGGGAACCGGAAUUCUAGGUGUAGCAGUGAAAUGCGUAGAUAUGGGGAGGAACACCAGUGGCGAAGGCGGGUUCCUGGACAUUAACUGACGCUGAGGCACGAAGGCCAGGGGAGCGAAAAGGAUUAGAUACCCUUGUAGUC
rnacentral:rRNA from 1 species